AACGAACGCUGGCGGCAGGCCUAACACAUGCAAGUCGAACGCUGUAGCAAUACAGAGUGGCAGACGGGUGAGUAACGCGUGGGAACAUGCCCUUCGGUUCGGAAUAACUCAGGGAAACUUGAGCUAAUACCGGAUACGCCCUUAGGGGGAAAGAUUUAUUGCCGAAGGAUGGGCCCGCGUCCGAUUAGCUAGUUGGUGAGGUAAUGGCUCACCAGGCGGACGAUCGGUAGCUGGGCUGAGAGGCUGAUCAGCAACACUGGGACUGAGACACGGCCCAGACUCCUACGGGAGGCAGCAGUGGGGAAUAUUGGACAAUGGGCGCAAGCCUGAUCCAGCCAUGCCGCGUGAGUGAUGAAGGCCCUAGGGUUGUAAAGCUCUUUCGCCAGGGACGAUAAUGACGGUACCUGGAUAAGAAGCCCCGGCUAACUUCGUGCCAGCCGCCGCCGUAA
rnacentral:rRNA from 1 species